rnacentral:rRNA from 1 species
AACGAACGCUGGCGGCGUGCCUAACACAUGCAAGUCGAACGGGAUUCGGAGCUUGCUCCGAUGAGAGUGGCGCACGGGUGAGUAACGCGUAGAUAAUCUGCCUGACGAUCUGGAUAACAGUUCGAAAGGACUGCUAAUACCGGAUAAGCCCACGGAGACCUUGGUCUUUGCGGGAAAAGGGGGGGACCUUCGGGCCUUCCGUCAUCAGAUGAGUCUGCGUACCAUUAGCUAGUUGGUAGGGUAAAGGCCUACCAAGGCGACGAUGGUUAGCUGGUCUGAGAGGAUGAUCAGCCACACUGGAACUGAAACACGGUCCAGACGCCUACGGGAGGCAGCAGUGGGGAAUUUUGCGCAAUGGGGGAAACCCUGACGCAGCAACGCCGCGUGAGUGAUGAAGGCUCUUGGGUCGUAAAGCUCUGACAGAGGGAAAGAAGUGUAUGGUGGUUAAUACCCAUUGUACUUGACGGUACCCUCAAAGGAAGCACCGGCUAACUCCGUGCCAGCCGCCGCAGUAACAC